CUAGUAACGGCGAGUGAAGCGGGAUGAGCUCAAGCUUAAAAUCUCUGUGCAAGUUUUGCAUGGCGAAUUGUAGUCUAUGGAGGCGCUGUCAGUGCGACUGUGCGGGGUAAGUUCCUUGGAAGAGGACAGCAUCGAGGGUGAUACUCCCGUAUGUACCUGUAUAGUUGCGCGUACGACACGUUUUCUUUGAGUCGCGUUGUUUGGGAAUGCAGCGCAAAGUAGGUGGUAAAUUCCAUCUAAAGCUAAAUAUUGGUGCGAGACCGAUAGCGAACAAGUACCGUGAGGGAAAGAUGAAAAGAACUUUGAAAAGAGAGUUAAAGAGUACCUGAAACUGCUGAAAGGGAACCGAAUCGUUUCCAGUGUCUAUAAUCCGUGACAUAUUUCAUUGGCGCGUGGUGGCGUGCAGCGUUUUGGAAGUGGUUUUCCUCUCCAUACGUUGUUGUGCUAUUGCUUGCUGGUGCCCUGUGUUGCGGUGGGACGUCAGAGUCAGUUCGUAUGCUGCGGGAAAUGGCUAUCAGGGAGGUAGGUCACUUCGGUGAUUGUUAUAUCCUGGUGUGCUAGUCGUCGUGGUUGGGACUGAGGUGCCUACAACGUGCUUUCGAGUCUGCGGGACUCUCGUCUGUUUGCAUUUCUUGACAGCUUGCUGUGUUGAUUUGUUAUUCGGGCGAUUGAGGCUUGUAGUAACUUGUUGCCGUUCGGGACUUUGACGAAAG
rnacentral:rRNA from 1 species